rnacentral:rRNA from 1 species
GUGCCAGCCGCCGCGGUAAUACCAGCUCUCCGAGUGGUGGGGACGUUUAUUGGGCCUAAAGCAUCCGUAGCCAGCUGAGCAAGUCCCCAGUUAAAUCCAGCGAUUUAAUCGUUGGACUGCUGGGGAUACUGUCCGGCUAGGGGGUGGGAGAGGCCGACGGUAUUCCCGGGGUAGGGGUGAAAUCCUAUAAUCCCGGGAGGACCACCAGUGGCGAAGGCUGUUGGCUAAAACAUGCCCGACGGUGAGGGAUGAAAGCUGGGGGAGCGAACCGGAUUAGAUACCCGGGUAGUCCCAGCUGUAAACGAUGCAGGCUAGGUGUUAGGGCGGCCACGUGCCGCUCUAGUGCCGCAGGGAAGCUGUUAAGCCUGCCGCCUGGGGAGUACGGCCGCAAGGCUGAAACUCAAAUGAAUUGACGGGG